rnacentral:rRNA from 1 species
AACCUCCGCAAUGUGAGAAAUCGCGACGGGGGGAUCCCAAGUGCCAUUCUUAACGGGAUGGCUUUUCUUAAGUGUAAAAAGCUUUUGGAAUAAGAGCUGGGCAAGACCGGUGCCAGCCGCCGCGGUAACACCGGCAGCUCUAGUGGUAGUUGUUUUUAUUGGGCCUAAAGCGUUCGUAGCCGGUUUGAUAAGUCACUGGUGAAAUCCUGUAGCUUAACUGUGGGAAUUGCUGGUGAUACUGUUGAACUUGAGGUCGGGAGAGGUUAGCGGUACUCCCAGGGUAGAGGUGAAAUUUUGUAAUCCUGGGAGGACCACCUGUGGCGAAGGCGGCUAACUGGAACGAACCUGACGGUGAGGGACGAAAGCUAGGGGCGCGAACCGGAUUAGAUACCCGGGUAGUCCUAGCCGUAAACGAUGCGGACUUGGUGUUGGGAUGGCUUUGAGCCGCUCCGGUGCCGAAGGGAAGCUGUUAAGUCCGCCGCCUGGGAAGUACGGUCGCAAGACUGAAACUUAAAGGAAUU